UGCGCGUGUGCGACUGUAUCCCCGCCUCCUCUUUCGUCUUCUCUGGACUUCAGGGAAGAGGUUUGGGAACCUGGGAGUCUGCUCGACAAGUGAAGGGUGCGCACCUGGGGAGUCUUACCUGGAAGAGAGCACCCCUAUGACCUUAGACCUCGUUCCAGAGCCUCAGAGCAGAGACAGAAGAGCCCAGAAAGUAGCAGAUCCUAGAUUUGCAAGAUCAGAAGCUGUUCUUAAUCUCCCUGCUCAGAAUGAGCCAGUCUUGGUGAUGACCCCACCUCCAGAAGCCACCGGACUAUGUGACAGUGAGGGGUUUGAGCCAGCCUUGAGAAGAGCAAGACAUCGGGCCUGAAAAGUUCAGUGACUUGUUCAGGGAAACACAGUUUGUUUGUGACAGAAUCAGGAGGAAAACAGUGCAGUUCGCCCUC